rnacentral:tRNA from 1 species
GGAGAGGUGCCGGAGUGGCCGAACGGGGCUCCCUGCUAAGGAGUUGUGCGCUUACGCGUACCGGGGGUUCGAAUCCCUUCCUCUCCGCAA